rnacentral:lncRNA from 1 species
GUCGUGGGAUUACAGCCAAGAGGUUGUAAGGGCUCUCUUUGAAUCCAGCCCGGAAGGAUGGUUCAUUGCUGAGAUGCAAGGGAAAGUUGUAGGUGUGAUGAUGGUGUUUAACAUAAACGAGGAGGAGGCCCAUGGAGGAAUGUGGAUCGUCAGUAAGCUGUGGCGUGGACACCGUAUUGGACCAGGCACAGGUGCCGUGCAGUCGUGAGACCUGUGGCGGAGGGAGCUACUGACUAUGAGCGGUGCAGAAAUUAACUAUAGAUUUGUGAAUGUUUAACGAAGCACAGUGUGCUUCUCUAGGGCACAGGAAAUUUGGAAUGCUGUAUCACUGACUGUCAACAAUGGCUGGCUUCUGAUGACGUAAUCGCCAAAAUCUUUUCC